rnacentral:antisense_RNA from 1 species
CCAGCAGAGGUGGGCUGGACACUGCUCCUGGCAAAGCUGGCCGGGAAGAUGCAGCCCGUGGGACACUCCCCACCACCACUCUCACUGUCUGACUGACUGCGAAGCUUCACAGACCAGAAGGUUCAUUCCUCACAACAAAAGGAAAACCCUGGUCUGACACUACUGUUCUGAAAUUUAACAGCCAGUUGGGUCCAGCAGCUUUGCCUCUCUACCCUUUCAUCACCAAAGUAUACUGCUGAGAAAGAAUCACAUGAAAAGAAAAAAGACUCAACAAGACCUCACUCAUAUUAACUGGACUCUACAAGCAGUGAGCAUCCAGACCUGCAUUUGGUUACAAAAGAAGCCUUCAAGCUAUUUUCAUCAGCU